CCUACGGGAGGCAGCAGUGAGGAAUAUUGGUCAAUGGGCUUACGCCUGAACCAGCCAAGUCGCGUGCGGGAAGACUGCCCUAUGGGUUGUAAACCUCUUUUGUCAGGGAGUAAUUGGCGCUACGUGUAGCGUUAUCGAGAGUACCCGAAGAAAAAGCAUCGGCUAACUCCGUGCCGGAGGCCGCGUUAAUACGGAGGAUGCGAGGGUUAUCGGGUUUUAUUGGGUUUAAGGGGUGCGUAGGCGCAAUGCCAAGUCACCGGUAAAUGCGCGGGGCUCAACCUCGCUCCGCCGUUGAAACUGGCGUUCUUGAGUGGGCGAGAAGUAUGCGGAAUGCGUGGUGUAGCGGUGAAAUGCAUAGAUAUCACGCAGAACUCCGAUUGCGAAGGCAGCAUACCGGCGCGCAACUGACGCUGAAGCACGAAGGCGUGGGUAUCGAACAGGAUUAGAUACCCUUGUAGUC
rnacentral:rRNA from 1 species